rnacentral:misc_RNA from 1 species
GAUGAAGAACGCAGCGAAAUGCGAUACGUAGUGUGAAUUGCAGAAUUCCGUGAACCAUCGAGUCUUUGAACGCAAGUUGCGCCCGAAGCCACUAGGCCGAGGGCACGCCUGCCUGGGCGUCACACGCCGUUGCCCCCCCAUCUACUCCUUCGGGAUUGCGGGGGGGCGGAUGAUGGCCUCCCGUGCGCCUAGCCGCGCGGUUGGCAUAAAUACCAAGUCCUCGGCGACGCACGCCACGACAAUCGGUGGUUGCGAAACCUCGGUUGCCCGUCGUGUGCGUUCGUCGCGCAUCGAGGGCUCGAAAAAAUGCUCGGCUCCGGCUGGGCUUUCAACGCGACCCCAGGUCAGGCGGGGUUACCCGCUGAAUUUAAGCAUAUCAAUAAGCGGAGGA